UGACACAGUUGGCAACUUAGGCGCCUGAG
rnacentral:piRNA from 1 species